GUGUCUGUGGCUCAGUUGGUAGAGCAUGGUGUUUGCAACGCCAGCAUGGUAUGUGCAACGCCAGGGUUGUGGGUUCGAUUCCCACGGGGGACC
rfam:Salmo salar isolate Sally breed double haploid chromosome ssa16, whole genome shotgun sequence.